CGGUGUAGCUCAGUUGGUAGAGCAGCUGAUUUGUAAUCAGCAGGUCGGGGGUUCGAAUCCCUUCGCCG
rnacentral:tRNA from 1 species